AGCCCAGGACCCUGAGAUCAUGACCUGAGCCAAAGGCAGAGGCUUUGAAUACUCCUUAAAGGAUCUAGAUGCCAGUCCUGGAAUGCAUAUAUAAUUAUCCUUCAGUAACCCUGAGAGAUAGGACCUAUAAUUGUCCCCAUUGUACAGAUGAAGAAAGUAAGGCACAGAGGGAUUAAAUAAUGUGCCAUGAUCACAAAAUUUUAUUUAGUUGUUCAAC